CUUUGUUGGUUUUCAUGUUUCUGGCUACUCUUUGUGUACUAAUUCAAUUAAAUGAAAAUGUAACACAAAGAGUUGCUGGGGAGGUAGCCCAUGUUAACUUACAACAAACAAGAGAAAUGGAUAAUAACAAAGGAUAUAGUAUAUGAUCAUUCUUUAAAAAGGUAUGUUACUAUUUCAAAUUAUAUGCAUUUAUAAUAAAACAGUGUAGAAUUUUUA
rnacentral:lncRNA from 1 species